rnacentral:lncRNA from 1 species
AAAGCGCCCGAGUCAAAGAUGAAAUCAUAAAUCAUAAUACUUGUUGCGGGUGUGCGAAUACAGUUCAAUCGUAAGGGCUGUAUCCUAACGGAAAUAUUUUAUUUCUUGUUUUCAGUUUCGAUUUUUGGAUAUUAGGAUACUCGGUGUAAGAUUGAUGUCUGAUUAAUUGAGAAGUGCAGUGAGUUCGCUUAUCGUUACUGUUUGGUAGUUAAAUUCUUUCGUCUUAUCGGAAUACAAGAUUCGUAAACAUCAUAAUUCUACAUGUAGUAGGAAGGCUGCUAAUGGUUCAUGGAGGAGGAUAUUGUAUUUAGCAUUGGCUAAAAAAUUUUGUGUCCAAUAACACUGGUGUUCAAUAGGCUGGUAUCCAAACGGGGUUCACCCUUCCGACUAAACACCUUCAUCUAUUUAAGUCUCGACUGCUCGUCGAAAUGAACUGGGCAUGGUGACCAACUAGGUAAGACAGCCCGAUGUUUACCGAAUUGCCGUCAUUCGUAGCAUCAGGCGAAAGGAAGCCGCGAGCGAAGACGUAACAGUAGCUAUAAACGAUAAUGCCCUGGAUUACACAGCCCAUUGGAGAUUCAUUUGUACUAAUUUUAAAGAACGGUCUUGAAUACACGUCUGGAAACGAUCCUAAUCUUCAGAUGGUGAGGGAGGCCCUCAUUUUGAGGCCAACUUGGUAGUUUCAUCAAUGGCUACGCGGGUCACCACGUAUGCGAGGGGGACGCAACGAGGAGGUCAACUAACAUUGCCCCGCAUACGUCGAUCAGCUCAAUCAUCCCCGUGAGGAGACGCGAAACCGCGACUUGGUCGAUCAGCAAAAAUAACUGAAAUUCGGAAUCAGAUGAAUAUGGUGAAAACACACUGAUUGAACAAACAACGCGACAUAACUUGAUCAACACGGUUUGAAUGUUGAACUGAUACUGAUAACACGUGAUUCUGCUCCGAUUGUUCGGAAACGACUGAUGCCGCACGGCGCUCAGAAGAGUCUGAUAUCAAUUCUCUGAAUGACGGAAGAUAAUAAUUCUCCCUCCCUCUUUCUUACUCUUCCCAUGGGGUGGGGGUAGAUUCGAUUCGAUAGCGAAAGUUUAUAAAUUUCCAGAGACCAUUCUUCCUGCUGCAUGGAAAAUUAAAAAACGUAUAAAGCAGAUACAUAUAGCAAAAUAUUAUGUGUAUGUACUAUUUUAAUAAUAUAAUUGGAAAAAUUUGUCACAUUUAUAAUGAAAUUACAAACAUUUCAAUAUGUGAAGCCUGUUAUAGUAUAAUAAAAAUUAUAAAGGCCCUUUAAUAAG